UAACCUACCUAUAUAUAUAACUCUUAUUAACCUAAACAACCCUAAUCAGUUUCUCUUUUCUUCCUCAAACUCGAGCCGCAGCUUCGUCGGAUUCUCAACCCUAGCAACUCAUUUUCGUCCGAUUCACACAUCUUUCCGACCACUAGGAGCAAAUACGGUGGUAGAAACAAAAGAUCGUCUUUCUUUUUCCAUGUGUAGAGAAUCUUCAAAUUGAAGGAGAAUCUCCUCAUUUGAAUUGGAGGUUGGUGGAGUUCAAGCGUCAUGGUGACCUUUAGUUUUUAGUUUUCUGUUGUGUUGUUUGAUCACUCUUUAUGUUUUGCGGGACAUUAUAAGAUUUGAGUCAUAGAUUCUUAGAUUUGGAAUGUUGGAUCAUUUUAGAUGUUUGAGAAAGAAUGAACAAUAUACAUGUUGGUUUUUUUGCUGAUAAAUGUGGAUUUUUCAGGUCA